UACGUAGGGGGCAAGCGUUGUCCGGAUUUAUUGGGCGUAAAGAGCGUGUAGGUGGCCAUGCAGGUCCGUUGUGAAAACUCGAGGCUCAACCUCGAGACGCCGAUGGAAACCGCAUGGCUAGAGUCCGGAAGAGGAGAGUGGAAUUCCUGGUGUAGCGGUGAAAUGCGCAGAUAUCAGGAAGAACACCCGUGGCUAAGGCGGCUCUCUAGUACGGUACUGACGCUGAGACGCGAAAGCGUGGGGAGCGAACAGG
rnacentral:rRNA from 1 species